UCGGAUUCUUGAUUUUUAUGCACAUACACACUAACAAAACAUGGAAACCACUUUACUGCCUCGAUUAAAAAGAGUAAAUAACUUCAGAAAUGGCAACAACAUGGGGUAAAGAAACAUGUCUCCACUGACAUUAGCUACAGCUCAUGAAAGUACUCCCUCCAUUUUUGUAUACAAGGCCAUAAACCCAUAUUACAGGUACCAAGGCAAAAGUUAAUGUCUUGUAAGUCAAUGUUGCAAGGCAGCUUGUCUCCUUCUUUGCCGUGUAAAUUAAUGUGUAUUCUUCUCUUUCAUGCACAUCAAGCCAAUGCUCUCACUCCCGCAUGCAUGCAAGGGCUAGUUAGUGUCCUCCUUGACUAGUACUACGAGGCAAACACCAUUAAUAUUGCAUCGAUUAGUGUUGGUGACCUUGUAUAUAUGCAAAUUGUUAUUUUGAUAGUGGCCUUGUAUAUAAAAAUGGAGGGAGUACAUGAAGCAAUCAAACAAGAUAAUGAAACUUGUGGGAAUACUAAUGCGAACAGCUAAAACCGAGGAAAUUAUCACAACUAUGUCAUUAUGCCACUGCUUUGCUGGUUGUGGUACAACAUAAUGAACAAAGAGAACAUUUGAUCAAGCAGCGUGUGCGCGCAAACACACACCGAACAGGUGGUGCAGAAGAUUUAGAUAUGGCAUACAGACCUUGCUUAAUCCUGCAGUGAACCUUCCCAAAAUCCAUGUAAAUUGUUCCUGCUUUCAUAAUCAUUAGCAUUUUGAGAAACUGAAAGAUAAUCUCACAAAGUAACCAUAAGUACUUUAAGCAAUUUGGAGAUGUGGGCAUCCAAACAUAAUAUUGUCAAAAAACAAAUCAUUAAAGUUCAAAGAAGUAGCUCACCUUCAAACCAACCAUCCUAGCAGAACCUAGCUAGAGAAUUAACCCGCAUUCAUUUGGAAAUAGAAGAACAUCAACAAAAAUAAAUUCUUAAAUUCGAUGAAGAUUUGGUGAAAAUAGUGGAUGAAGCAACGAGGGAAAACUGGCAAAACAGGAAGAAGAAUUAGUGAGCUAAUGUCAACCAUGCUUGCCGGGGACGAUUCUAUCGAAGGAGUCGAGUGGGGAAGGAGGGGCAGGACAAGGGAGAUUAUAUGAACGCACAUGG
rnacentral:lncRNA from 1 species